rnacentral:rRNA from 1 species
AUUGAACGCUGGCGGCAGGCCUAACACAUGCAAGUCGAACGGAGCGGCGGACGGGUGAGUAAUGCCUAGGACUCUGCCAGGUAGUGGGGGAUAGCGUCCGGGACCGGACACUGAUACCGAUUCCUAUCGGCUGAGCCUAGGUCGGAUUAGCUAGUGGUGGGGGUAAAGGCCUACCAAGGCGACGAUCCGUAACUGGUCUGGGAGGAUGAUCAGUCACACUGGAACUGAGACACGGUCCAGACUCCUACGGGAGGCAGCAGUGGGGAAUAUUGGACAAUGGGCGAAAGCCUGAUCCAGCCAUGCCGCGUGUGUGAAGAAGGUCUUCGGAUUGUAAAGCACUUUAAGUUGGGAGGCGUUACCAACAGAAUAAGCACCGGCUAACUUCGUGCCAGCAGCCGCGGUAAUUC